rnacentral:rRNA from 1 species
UACCAGCACCCCGAGUGGUCGGGGCGAUUAUUGGGCCUAAAGCAUCCGUAGCCGGUUCUACAAGUCUUCCGUUAAAUCCACCUGCUUAACAGAUGGGCUGCGGAGGAUACUACAAGGCUAGGAGGCGGAAGAGGCAAGCGGUACUCAGUGGGUAGGGGUAAAAUCCUCUGAUCCAUUGAAGACCACCAGUGGCGAAGGCGGCUUGCCAAUACGCGCUCGACGGUGAGGGAUGAAAGCUGGGGGAGCAAACCGG